rnacentral:rRNA from 1 species
GAACCGUCCAAACGUUUAUUCGGAAUCACUGGGCUUAAAGGGUGCGUAGGCGGCUUGGCAAGUUGGGUGUGAAAUCCCUCGGCUCAACCGAGGAACUGCGCUCAAAACUGCCAGGCUAGAGGGAGAUAGAGGUGAGCGGAACUUAUGGUGGAGCGGUGAAAUGCGUUGAUAUCAUAAGGAACACCGGUGGCGAAAGCGGCUCACUGGAUCUCUUCUGACGCUGAGGCACGAAAGCUAGGGUAGCGAACGGGGGAUUAGAUACCCCGGUAGUCCUAGCUGUAAACGAUGAGCACUGGAUUGGAGGCUCCUCCAUAGGCUUCCGGCCGAAGCGAAAGUGUUAAGUGCUCCGCCUGGGAGUAUGGUCGCAAGGCUGA